GAUGAACGCUGGCGGCGUGCCUAAUACAUGCAAGUCGAGCGAACAGACGAGGAGCUUGCUCCUCUGACGUUAGCGGCGGACGGGUGAGUAACACGUGGAUAACCUACCUAUAAGACUGGGAUAACUUCGGGAAACCGGAGCUAAUACCGGAUAAUAUAUUGAACCGCAUGGUUCAAUAGUGAAAGACGGUUUUGCUGUCACUUAUAGAUGGAUCCGCGCCGCAUUAGCUAGUUGGUAAGGUAACGGCUUACCAAGGCGACGAUGCGUAGCCGACCUGAGAGGGUGGUCCGGCCACCCUGAACCUGGACCCCGUCCCGGCCCCUUCCGGGAGGCGGCGUAGGGGAUCCUUCGGCAUUGGGCGAAGCCCUGACGAACCACCGCCGCUGGGUUGAUGAGGUCCUCCGAUUCUUAAAACCUUUUAUUAGGGAAGAACAAAUGUGUAAGUAACUAUGCACGUCUUGACGGUACCUAAUCAGAAAGCCACGGCUAACUACGUG
rnacentral:rRNA from 1 species